rnacentral:lncRNA from 1 species
GCUAGAAUGGGUUGGCUACCUUAAAUCUCACUGAUGGCUCCAUCAGAGAGAGAAUGCCCCAGUUCUGCUGUCUCACACAUGUACUGGGAGGGAGAGAAACAAAACAGACAACCUAAUACAUAUAGCUCAGCACCCAGAGAAAGACUCUGCCCCAGAGAGACUUCCACAUGGGUCAAGCAUCCUUAAACGAGGCGCCAGCCACCUUUCAUUUUCAGGACAGGUCUUUUCUUGCAAGAUCUUUAGAGGCAGAAGUUCCACGUGGAUUCUAAUACACAGCCCUGUGAGCUCAGUUUCCUGAAAACAUACAC